rnacentral:misc_RNA from 1 species
AGCAGCCGCGGUAAUUCCAGCUCCAAUAGCGUAUAUUAAAGUUGUUGCAGUUAAAAAGCUCGUAGUUGAAUUUCGGGGUUAGUAGGUUGGUCAUGCCUCUGGUAUGUACUGGUCUCACUGAUUCCUCCUUCCUGAUGAACCUUAAUGCCAUUAAUUUGGUGUUUUGGGGAAUUUGGACUGUUACUUUGAAAAAAUUAGAGUGUUUAAAGCGAGCUAACGCUUGAAUACAUUAGCAUGGAAUAAUGAAAUAGGACGUUCGAUCCUAUUUUGUUGGUUUCUAGGAUUGACGUAAUGAUUAAUAGGGAUAGUUGGGGGCAUUAGUAUUCAAUUGUCAGAGGUGAAAUUCUUGGAUUUAUUGAAGACUAACUACUGCGAAAGCAUUUGCCAAGGAUGUUUUCAUUAAUCAAGAACGAAAGUUAGGGGAUCGAAGACGAUCAGAUACCGUCGUAGUCUUAACCAUAAACUAUGCCGACUAGGGAUCGGAUGAUGUUAAUUUUUUAAUGACUCAUUCGGCGCCUUA